rnacentral:lncRNA from 1 species
UCACAUUAAGAGGGACCAGUUCCCUCUUAAUGGAGAAAAAUGCUUAAGGAAAGAGAAACAGUAAAAACUAAUUGUUUUGAAACAGUGCCCAGUUGAAAAAAACUAAAUAUCUGCUAACUGAAAAAUAAAUAUGAAUACACCUCUUAGAUGCCUGGCAAAAGUAUAAUAAAGAAGAAAAAGAUACCAGAGGAAAAAGCCAAGAAGCUCAAUAAUCAAGCUUGUUACAAAUUUAGCUGUUGCCUCUUUUGCUCUCAGAGGGUGAGAUGUCUUUGGUAUAAAAUAGCAAGCCUUUGAGAUGACAUUUCCCCAUGCCCCCUGCCCCACAGAUUCAAGAGAGGACAAUUUCUUCUCUUACCUUAUCCUCUGUAGCGCUGCCUGAUU